GGUCACUGGUGUAACGGUUAGCACUCUGGACUCUGAGUCCAACGAUCCGAGUUCAAAUCUCGGUGAGACCU
rfam:Ixodes scapularis strain Wikel colony gcontig_1108379424252, whole genome shotgun sequence.